CCUACGGGUGGCAGCAGUGGGGAAUAUUGCACAAUGGGGGAAACCCUGAUGCAGCGACGCCGCGUGAGGGAAGAAGGAAUUCGUGAUGUAAAGCUCUAUCAGCAGGGAAGAAAAUGACGGUACCUGAGUAACAAGCCCAGGCUAACUAUGUGCCAGCAGCCGCGGUAAUACGUAGGGGGCAAGCGUUAUCCGGAUUCACUGGGUGUAAAGGGAGCGUAGCCGGUAGUGCAAGUCUGGAGUGAAAGGCGGGGGCUCAACCCCCGGACUGCUCUGGAAACUGUACGGCUGGAGUGCAGGAGAGGUAAGUGGAAUUCCGGGUGUAGCAGUGAAAUGCGUAGAUAUUAGGAGGAACACCAGUGGCGAAGGCGGGUUACUGGACUGUAACUGACGCUGAGGCGCGAAGGCGUGGGGAGCAAACAGGAUUAGAUACCCUUGUAGUC
rnacentral:rRNA from 1 species